UACUCUCAGCAACAAAUAUCUUGGCUCUCACAACAAUGAAGAAUGUAGUGAAAUGUGAUACAUGAUAUAAAUUGUGAAAUUCUGUGAAUCAUCAAAGUUUUGAAUGCAACUUGUACCCAAGGUUCAUCCCAAGGGCAUGCUUGGCUAAGAGUCC
rnacentral:rRNA from 1 species